AGUGGAGCAGGGCAGCAGCUACUCACGCUAGAGCGGCGGGCAGCAGGUCUGCCAGCAACAGCGACGGCAGGCUGUAGCGAAGGCGGUCUCCGGACGGCGACCAGCCCACGUCGCAGGAAAUGGCUGUUGCGUCGCACUCGUACCUGUAGCACAACACACGGUGAACGAGAUUGCCUUCAGCGGAAAUAGCUUUGGAAGCUCAUCGUUGAUAUAAUCUGGUGCCUUGUCAAGUCCAUUUCGGUGAAGGUGUACUGACAAAAAUUAGAGCUUUGACAGUCAGUUAAUGCGGAACGACAAAGUGAUUUCGAGGACAAAUCUUCCAGGUCAAGUUUUCCUUUGAAAAUCCAAGAAAAUAUGGAGACUGUGACACAAAAUGAGAAAGAGUUACAGGAUGGUGAGGAGACUCGUGUAGCGUUGCACUCAAAGCAUAAGAGUCUCCGUCCAGCCAAAGAACUGAAUUCUCAGGCGAACAGCAACCACUUCUGCAAUGGAGAAGCUGACACGUCCCCACAGUGCAACGGUGUGGAGCCUGUGUGCGAUUGGAGCGAGGGGGAGGAGGAGGACCUGGAGGACACGGAGC